GACGUAGGGGGCGAGCGUUGUCCGGAUUUAUUGGGCGUAAAGCGUGCGUAGGCGGCUGCGCAAGUCGGGUGUGAAACCCCGGGGCUCAACCCCGGAACUGCAUCCGAUACUGCGUGGCUAGAGGUAGGUAGGGGAGAUCGGAAUUCCUGGUGUAGCGGUGAAAUGCGCAGAUAUCAGGAGGAACACCGGUGGCGAAGGCGGAUCUCUGGGCCAUUACUGACGCUGAGGAGCGAAAGCGUGGGGAGCGAACAGG
rnacentral:rRNA from 1 species